CCGGAGCCGUUUGGCCGGCAAGCCAACGAAAAAAACUGCCUAGCAACGUCUCUUGAUCUUUUGCCGCGAGCAGCACGGUUUGUUUGCUCUCCCGGCGGUGGUGUUUUCGGCAUCUCGGUAGCUCUCGACGACGACGAGUGAGGAGAUGGUGAGAACGACGCCGCCGGAAUUGUGACAACAGCGACGCGCAGCAGCAGGUCCCGGAGAGAUGUUCAAAGAACCCCGCGAAAGAACCACAUACUAUUAUGCGAUGUCGGGCGAGGGGCGCUCGCCGAGCUUUGCCAAGCUCGAAACAAAGCGUACCCCACAUUUCAACCCCAAACAAACUCUGAAUCUGAACUCAAAGGGGGGCUGUUCCUCUAUACUAUUAUUUUAUAGACCAAGCCUCCUCAACCUUUAUGUU
rnacentral:misc_RNA from 1 species